UACAGAGGGGGCAAGCGUUAUUCGGAAUUAUUGGGCGUAAAGGGCGCGUAGGCGGCUUGGCAAGUGGAUGGUGAAAUCCCUCGGCUUAACCGAGGAACGGCCGUCCAAACUGCUUCGCUUGAGACCGGGAGAGGUGAGUGGAAUUCCCAGUGUAGCGGUGAAAUGCGUAGAUAUUGGGAGGAACACCAGUGGCGAAGGCGGCUCACUGGACCGGUACUGACGCUGAGACGCGAAAGCGUGGGGAGCGAACGAGGA
rnacentral:rRNA from 1 species